rnacentral:lncRNA from 1 species
GGCCCAUCCCUUAUUAAGCAGGCACAGGGUUGUCUUAAAUUACAGAGCAAACAUCUGGAAAGACGUGGCUUAAUUAUCAGAAUAAUUACAUUGACAGCUGAUGUAUCCAAGGGCCUCACUCUGAAGGGAAAGCGGAAAGCGACUCACUUCCAGCAGGUGCUCUUCUCGUCUCCCGGGGAGAAAGUCAGCGGACCCGCACAGGAAGCUGCGAAGUCCCGGCUGGGUCCGCGCCCGGGGGGACGGGGUGGGGGCGUGCCUUUCCUUCCAAGGCGGAAAGAAGCCCGGAGAGGGAGGUCCGCCCCCGUCCUUUCCGUUUCCUCCCGUCGAGCCUCCGAGGUUCCUGCGCCAGCCCGAUGGGCUCAAACCCUGGAGCGACGUUGGAGCCGCGACCGGGAAGCACUGGAGACUGGACAAUACAUGGUGGUGACCUUCUCAAGAAAUUGGAGCAAGCUGCUUCAUUGCCAUCAAGUCCACGAUCCCUUCCACAUACAGUGCUUUAUAGAGAGGGCUUUUUUGGCAACCUUACUUAAGGUCUUUCCAAUGGAGAUUGUAUUUCCCUGUUCUGUAGCUGAGAAUGACCUUGGUCUGGACCAGCUUCAUCCCAUCCAUUUCUACCAAUUGAACUUGAUCAAACAAUAAAUAUCCAUCUCUAGAAAAUAAAAUCAAAAUGCAAAAUUAUUGAUCA